AUGUGAGGUAGUAUUAAUUUUUUUUAAUAAGAACUCCAAAGUGAUAUUAGUAUGUUAUAUAGACAUCCAUUUAUAUAGAUACUGUGGAUAUUUAGAUUCUUAUGGAUAUGAAGUUGAACAGAGUUCCCUUUGUUAUGGAUUAUUGCAUGUUGAUAUACUUUGUGUUGUAUGUUGCCUUGCAUGCUGUGUUGAGGGUGAGUUAAGCUCCCCAUUGCAUAUGGUUUGA
rnacentral:misc_RNA from 1 species